GGCUCGGCUCGGAGCGGUCGGAGCGGAGCGGCCCCGGCAGCGCCGCGCGCUCCCCGCGCCAAUCGCGCUCAUUGAGGAGCUUCCCCCGCGCCCCUGACGUGGCCGCGCCGCCGCUCCCGGAUUGGCCCAAAGGCGAGGGAAAGAGGGGGAGAAGCAACCAAAGCCGGAGGCGAGGCAAUGCUGCUACCAGACACCUUUUCCUGCAGGAUCCAGUCCUGCCGGACCCACCACGAGUCAGGCAGGCGUUCCAGUUCAACCCCCAGAUCGUGACCUGGUGCAUCUUAGGAUUUGGACUCAAUGAUCCCUGUGGAUCUCUUCCAACCCAGGAUAUUCCAUUAAUCUCUGUCGCUGGCCCUACAUUUCAAUUCACCCUCUGAUCCAGCUUUUUUUUUUUUUACCCCUGAAAAGGCAAAUUCUCCGUGGUCAUGUUGAAAUUAAAGAAGCGUUUGAGCCUAAAAAUAGCUGGACACAUCUGUCUGCCUUCCCCAUCUGCCACCGGCCUGGCUGGAUGAAGGAAGGGACUGUCUGUGCAAAAUGAGGGACCUGUCUCAUCCUUCUGUCCUGUAAAAUCAGUUUAUUCAGGGAAAAUAAUCCCCAACACUCCAUUGAUUGGCCAGAUAACGCCCUAGUCAAGGAAGGACAGGAGGACCUGAGCUUUGCUCAACUAGCUCCUCUAAAUAUAGUAAAUUUUUUUUAAUUUGA